rnacentral:lncRNA from 1 species
UGCGGGUAGCAAAAAGAAGCCUGGCCGUAGUAAAAAUAAGACAAUUUCCCGGGCAAUUCUAUUCCCACCCCUGGAUUACUCAGUAGCCCCACCCUCUAAAAUAAUCUCUUUCCAAGUCUCUAUGUAAGUUUGAGGGUUUACGUUAUUCAAUGAAUCACACUUGUCCAGAGUGGAUCCUAUUAGGAUUUGUUUUAAGAGUAUUAAAUAAUUUAGUUUAAACUGUUAUUAAGAUUAAUCAUAUCAGCUAAUUUAUUGACAAAACAACAAGACUACCUUUAUUUUGAUGGUUUUCUAUUUUUUUCUCAACACAUCAAUUAAAAUUAAUAGGCAUUCUUUCUUUUUUGAAAAUAACCUUAUUUAUUUAACUAUUUUAUAAAAUUAAUUAUUUUUCUAAUUUAUUAUUUUUAGUAAUACAUGACCAAUUUUUUGUAAUGAUUUUUUUUAAAGAGUUGAUAACAAAGUUUAUAUUUUAAAUACUUAAAAAGUAAACUACGGGGUAGUUUACAAAUAAACGGUAUUUUGAGAAGAAAAAAAAGAAUUUUUAUUUAUUUUAAUUGAUCUGUUGAGAAAAAAAUUUAAAAUCCUAAAUGUAAGGACAAUCUUGUCAUUUUUGCCACAAAAAUAGUUUUAAACGAUAAUCUUGAUAAUAUUUUUAAAAAUAAGAGAUAAUGCUAUUUUAAAAAUUAUAGAAAAAUAGCCGUAAUUGUCAGAAAUCUUGUAAGAGAUCAGUGAAAUUUACCCAAAUUAAAAACCAAAAAAAUUCCUUAGGUUCAAAUAGAAUCACCCCUUUUUUGUAAGUUUGUUUAUGUCAUAUUUGAUACCACCCUUUUAUCUCUCUUCAUAUCAUAAUUUCGAAAAAUAUUGUGGUCCCACAAACGAAAAUAAAAAGUAAACCUAAUAUAUAUAUAAAUGUCAGUGAACAGUGAUUUCAACGACCACCAACUUUCUUUUCCAUUUUGCCCCUUCUCCAAUUUUUUUGGAUAAAUUAUAGUUUCAGUCCCUAGGGUUUUAAUAAUUACAGUUGCGUCCUUAAAAUUUAUAAUUAUUACAAUUUGGUCCCUAGAAUUACUGAUAGUUAAAGAUUGGUCCCUAGAGGUGCUGCAAAUUACUUUGAGACCUUAAAUUUGGGUAUUUUUAUUUUGGUCCCAAAAUUUUUAAUUUUGUCAUUUGAGCUUGAUCUUUAUGAUUUUGGCAGUUUUGACCCGUUGAACCAAUCCUUACAAUUUCUAAUAAUUACAGUUUGAUUCUCUAUAAUUAUUGUAAUACCGAUUAGUCUUUAGAGUGCUGUUAAAUUAUAUUUUUGACUCUAAAAUUUCGGUGAUUUUCAAUUGGCUUUUGGCUUAUCAUUUUUUUUUUGAAUUUUGCCCAAAAAAAAUUUUUGGUUCGAUUUUGUCAGACUUUAAUUUUUUUUUCGAUUUUGCCCCUACUCACAUUAACUCAUUUACCACAUUUGUUUUACCAUUUUUUUUUCACGAUUUUUUCACUACUCACAUUAACUCAUUGAUCACCAUUUUUUUUUCCGAUUUUGCAUACUUAAUUUUUUUUAAUCCCGAUUUUGACCAUCUCACAUUAACUCAUUAUGAUUAGGUUCUUGGUUUAAUGGAUUGCUUAUUUUGAAAAAUUCACUCAUGCAUAACACACUAUUUUCGAUUUGUCCUAGUAAAUGUGAUAAAUAGUAACUCAUCACCCAUCAUUUUUUUGAUUUACCCCUUAGUAACUCUUUUUUUUAACUCAUUUACACAUUUUUUUUUUCAAAAAAGUUUGCCCCUUAGUUAUGUGAGUGAAUAGUCUUUUUUUUUCAAUUUGCAACUAUUUUUGUCCCGAUUUUGUUCCCUUGGUAACUUUGUUACCACCAGUUUUUUUUGUUUUCGUUUUGCCCGACCUCUAUUUUUUUAUUUUCGAUGUGGCCCGCUUAGAAUCACAAGCCCGGCAUAGCACGGCAUGCUCCCACUAUUAAUAUAUAUAUAUAAAGUUCGGGACGCUGUUAGGGAACUUCCACUAUAUUGGUUGGCAAGUCAAUCCCUUCGAAUUAGUUUUUUCUAAAUUUGUUUGAAUCUGCUUGCACUUGAACAGUCUAGAGAGAUCGAUGGAUAGAUAUACCUUUAUUUCCUAUGUCAAAUUCAUCAAACGUCAACAAUGUAGAAGAAGGCAUCACAAGUCGCAUCUAUCCCAGUCUGGUUUGACCCUUCCUCCAGAGUCCGAUCUCAUCUCCCCGCUCUUGUCGAGAAUACCGUAUGAACGCAGUUUUUCGAUUAGGUGCGUCACCAUAUCUUGAUUUGACACUCAUAUAUACUAAUGGAUUCACGGUAAGCUAAUUGAUUAUGUUUACUAUGCUUGUAUAGGGUUAUACAGAUACGCUCAUCGGCUUUGCUUUCAUAUCCCUAAAAAAGAAAGAGGAUGAACCAAUGAGGACUUCUUAUCCUUCCAAGAUCCAUCAAUCAGAGCGAUUACUUCUCGUGGCCAUUAGCUAGAGUUGGUUUUAGCCCAAGGUUAGGUAAUG